UCCCCGGUAGCUCAGUUGGUAGAGCGCCUGACUGUUAAUCAGGAAGUCGCUGGUUCGAGACCAGCCCGGGGAGCCA
rnacentral:tRNA from 1 species